AAAAUAUGGAAGGAUGUUCUGACUUCUAACCCAUCAAUUCCCAAAGUCCUCAAUCUGCGAGACCUCUAGUCUAGGGAUCAUCAGAGGUGGUCUGUAGCUGCUGGUUCUCUACAGCAAAAUGAAAAGCAAGGGGAGUGUUGAAAUUUUACAGAAAAGAGCAUUUGAGACAGAGAUUUGGGGGCAUGCAACAUUUCAACCUCUACCCUUUGUUUGUAUAUAUCAAAUAAUAAGUUUCUUUUGCAGCCUGCUGUUUACCAGACUCCAGGCUCAGGUAGAGCAAGAAGGGAUGCAGCAGCACGUGCAAUGCAAGGUUGGCAUGCUCAGCGCCUUCUUGGAUACGGUGAGGUUGCUGAGCCAGUUAUUAAGGUCUGUUGAGACCUUUACAAUUUACAUUCUUAUUCUUAGUAUCAUUUUAUUGUUGAUCACUGUAACUCUGUCUUAUAGCAAUGUUUCUACUAAUAGAGUGUUUGUUUUUUCUUGCACAGGACAAGAACUUCAGUUCCACGCCAAAGCGUGAAAAGAACCUAAAAAGUAUUGGUAUGGUCACUACAAACAUCACCAACUUUCUCUAAAUUAAUAGCUAUCUCAUUUAUUUAUGCUUCAAUGAAUCAGGUAUGAAUAAUAAACAGAGGACACUGUCUGGUCUGGAGCAUGCUGAAAAAUCUGCAAAUAUUGAAGGAGAUCGGCAGUUAAGUUACUGGUCUUCUGUUAAUUGACCUAUAAUAGUCCUGUGCAUAGAUUCAUGAUCUUUGAGCACUGUUGGCUUUUCCAUCUACAAUCUUUUAAUUCAUGGCAUUAGCCACCCACCACUCGAAGUUCUCUUCAUUAUAACAAUUACUGUUGAGUAAAUUAAUUUUGCUGUUACACAAUUAAUAAAUGUUAUUUCUUUUAUUAGAUUCAUAGGUUUUCAGCAAAAUAAAAUUAAGGAAUUAAUCAGAACAAGUUGGUGCACCUUAUUAAUGAUACUGCCCUAUACAUAUCUUAUUCAAGUCCUUGAAGAUAUGCUUGCUUCCUCCCUAAAGGUUUCUAUAUCUACAUCUUUCCUACCCCAAAGUUUUGUGAGCCAAAACACAGACAAACUAAUAAAGUGAAUGUGCCCUGGGAAAUCCUUUGGCAUUUUCUUAAUGUCAGUGAGGAUUCCCUUCAUUAUUACUGAUUCUUCAAUCAAUUCAACCACAUACAAUCCCUAUUUCAAUCUGAAAAGGAUACAUGUGCACUGUGAGAUAUGAUAAAGUUUCAGUGUAUCAAAUGAACCAAGGCUAAUUGAGUUUUUCAUCUGAUAGAUUGGUCACAGCAGUAGUGGAUGUUGGACCCCCAGCUGACUGGGUGAAGAUCAAUGUGCGUGAAAGUGUAAGUCAGUUUGGUUGUAUUCUGUACCUAAUUUAUGUCCUUCUUGUGUAUCAUAAUGGCAGAUUUUUUCUCCUGUAAAUAGAAUUUAAUAAUUAAUUUUUUACUGUUUGCUGUAUCAUUGUCCAGAAGGAUUGUUUUGAGGUAUAUGCCCUAGUUCCUGGGCUCCUUCGUGAGGAGGUGAGCACCAUGGCUUGUCUUUAUCCAUUGUUUAUUUUUAUGCAGAAAAAGUGGCUUGAUAUUUGGGUAUUUUUUUGCAGAAACACUGGGUAGAUUUUAUCAUAGAUUUUUCUUCUUAAGCGUAACUGUAUAAAAUAGAAUGUACAAUCAUUUUUUACAAUCUCCACUGAUCUAUAUUGGCUGUUUUUCGAUGCCUUUUUGUUAGGAGGGAAAUUCUUCUGCCUAUAUAGUUUUAUAUAUGUAUGGGAUAAUUUGCCUUCAUUUGUCAUGUUAAAAUUAAAAACUAAUAUUAUGAUUGGAAAAGGUUCUUCUAAGUGAGCAAUGGUGUAUUCACGCUUAAUUUUAUUAAGUGCACAUUAAAUGAUUUAAAUGCUGAAGAGUGAAUACAAACCUUAUUUCAUUUUAGAUUGAAAAGAGUAUUUUCCUUUGUGAUUGAUUAUGGCUUCCUUGGUUUCUACUUUUAUUGUUGACUUUGUUAUAACAAAUCCAGGUGCGAGUCCAAUCAGAUCCAGUUGGACGUCUUGUUAUAACUGGUGUGCCAGAACAUAUAGACAAUCCAUGGGGAAUUACCCCCUUCAAAAAGGUAAACUACCCUUUUCUUAACAGAGAUCUUGGUAUGACGCUGAGAGUAAUAACAGAAUGUCAUGUAAGGACGUGGCAUCUUCGUUGAAAGUGAUUGACUGAAAUUUGAUGUUUUUCAGGUUGUGAACUUACCUGCAAGAAUUGAUUCGCUUCAGACAUCUGCUGUUGUUAGUUUGCAUGGUCGACUAUUUGUACGCGUUCCUUUUGAGCAAGGAGCUGUGUGAGAUGUGAAUGUUCCUCCCUUGAAUCAUUGAUUUAUGAAAUCU
rnacentral:lncRNA from 1 species